rnacentral:ncRNA from 1 species
GUAACGCGUAAGAACCUGCCCUUGGGAGGGGAACAACAACUGGAAACGGUUGCUAAUACCCCGUAGGCUGAGGAGCAAAAGGAGAAAUCCGCCCAAGGAGGGGCUCGCGUCUGAUUAGCUAGUUGGUGAGGCAAUAGCUCGUUGAGCGACGGCCCUUCCACUCGGCACCGUCGGAUCAC